rnacentral:tRNA from 3 species
AUCUUUUUAGUAUAAUCAAUACUUAUGACUUCCAAUCAUUUAAUCUUAGUUUAAACCUAAGGAAAGAUA